ACGCUCGACACCUACGAGGCAGCAGUGGGGAAUAUUGCACAAUGGGGGAAACCCUGAUGCAGCAACGCCGCGUGAAGGAAGACGGUUUUCGGAUUGUAAACUUCUGUUCUUAGUGAAGAUAGUGACGGUAGCUAAGGAGCAAGCCACGGCUAACUACGUGCCGCAGCCGCGGUAAUCUGAGCGGGCUGGCAAGGC
rnacentral:rRNA from 1 species